UAGCCGCAAACUGAUGAGUAAGGAAAACAAAGCGAGCACUGAGAGCUGCUCGCGGUGCUACUGACUCAAUCUUUGGAAGGGUUAUAGGCUGGCCUAUGCGUUGACGCUGCCUACUUUGCAGAACUCGCUCGUGCGGGCCUCCCCA